CACUUUGCGCAGUGGCAGUAUCGUAGCCAAUGAGGUUUAUCCGAGGCGCAACUAUUGCUAAAAGAAUCUGUUGUGUUUUCCCCUCUGUGAAAUGUCUGUUCAUUCUUUUGCCCAAUUUUUUACUGAGUUGUUUGUCU